CCCACCUAGAGAUCAGGAGCCGGGCCCCACUGUGGAGUUUUCCUCUGAGGACUGGUGGGUCCUUGAUGAGUUUGAGCACGAUGCCGAUUGCACGUGCAAGGAUUGCGCUGCAUGGCAAUGGGUGAUCUUUUCGAUUAUUUUGAUAUACUGAAUUGUUGAUCCUGGAAGGUUGUGAGUUAAUUAGAGUCAACUCGCUCACCGGAUCGGUUCUGUGCGAGUGAGGUGUGACAACGGUGGUAUUAAAGCGCGAUGCUCUACCUGCCUACGGCAUACUGCUUAGACCCCAAAGAAACUAUAAUAGGUCUAAGAGCGCCAAGAGGCGAACCGUGUAACUACCCUAGUUGCCCAAGGAGGCAAGCGCAAAAGACAAGGUAACCCAAGAAAUCAGGUUAUGGCUCAAAACCAGGCACCAAAAGAAGGCAAGCCCGCCAAGCGCAAAAGAGGCGAGUGUGGCAGAAAGAAAGAUUUAUCCAAGGUCAAAUGCUACAACUGUGAGAAAAUGGGGCACUUUGCUCGUGAUUGCACUGACCCGAAGUAGAUUAUCGUAGAAUUCCAGCUGGAUCCCAGAACAUGUUCAUGGGGAAUGGCACUAGUGAGGGAGUUCAAGGAAUUGGUACUUAGUAGCUCAAGAUGCGUAAUGGAUGCACCUUGCUUCUUCACGACAUGCUUUAUGACCGGAUAUUUAGCAUAAUCUAAUUUCAGUUUCUGCAUUAUUACUUUUUGGAUGUUCAUUCCAUAUUGACGGUUACACUUUAGAGUUUUAUUUGAGCGGUAUUAUUGUUGGACGUGGAUCCUAAUUUGAUGGAUUUUUUAAAUUUGAUUUAAUUGAUUCUGCUUCAUCUA